rnacentral:rRNA from 1 species
UACGUAGGCAGCGAGCGUUGUUCGGAGUUACUGGGCGUAAAGGGUGUGUAGGCGGUUGUUUAAGUUUGGUGUGAAAUCUCCCGGCUCAACUGGGAGGGUGCGCCGAAUACUGAAUGACUUGGAGUGCGGGAGAGGAGAGUGGAAUUCCUGGUGUAGCGGUGAAAUGCGUAGAUAUCAGGAGGAACACCGGUGGUGUAGACGGCUCUCUGGACCGUAACUGACACUGAGGCACGAAAGCGUGGGGAGCAAACAGG